AGCGCUUUGUGGUUUUUAAACCGCUUUGCAAAAGCUGCCUGAAAUUGUAGAGUAACACAUCGAGGCCAAAGCGACUUGGGAUAUCCUCCGCCCCGACUUUGAUUUCCAAAGGAUGCGAGAAGGGUGAAAAAGCUGGGAGCUGGGAGCGGGAAAAGGUCACCAGGUCGCAAAGGUCACCAGGUCGCAAAGGUCAGAGGUUAUAUUCGAACCUAGGUUUUCUGACUCCAGAGCUAGACACUAUGUAUUGGAAUACCUGCCAUCUGGGGAGGGGAAUUUGGAACAGAAGGUUUUGCAAAGGAGAAUGAGCAUCCAGAAAUGGAACUGAUCAUGUAACAACUUUAUGGACUUCAAAAUGUCAGAAUCAUCAGAAGUUCCCCUUAGCAAUCAAUUAGUUGCAGAUAUUACUGGGGUGUGCCUUUGAGUCUGAGUCCGUAAGCUAUCCUGGAGAGGCAAGCUACUUAAUCCAACCCAUCUUAAAAGAACACAACACUGUGCUGAUCCAGUUAGGAGGAUCUAACUCAUUUGAGCAAAGGAGCAACUUAUGCAUCAAUACUAACCUAAGAAAACUUACUGGGGCUUCACAGAGACAGAAAAGAACUCCUGGAGUCUUGACUCACAGACUUAAGUGAUCCCUAACUAUAUGCCUCAAUCCCAUUAUGCAUCCAUCUCUGUUUGUGAAAGAGGGAGAAUGUGUUCUCAAGUUGAAAGGUGUUUUGUACAAACGGCUUUAAGUUUAAGCCCAUUAUAUCCAUAGAAUCAUGCAGAUGGGAGAAUACAUCCUUAAUUUGGUGGGUAUUUUGAAAGGGCAAUUCUGCAUUAUCUUCUCA
rnacentral:lncRNA from 1 species